GGCCCUCGCCGCCUCCAGGGCCCUGCGCGGGAGCUGGUUGGCUCCUGGUGCUCCCCACCCCCGGCCGCCCUCGUACCCACCGGAGCCUGGGCUCUGUCAAGGAGCGGGGCAUGGCAUCGAACAGCAUCUUCGACUCCUUCCCGACCUACUCGCCAACCUUCAUCCGCGACCCAAGCACCAGCCGCCGCUUCACACCUCCCUCCACGGCCUUCCCCUGCGGCGGCGGCGGCAAGAUGGGCGAGAACAGCGGCGCGCUGAGCGCGCAGGCGGCCGUGGGGCCC
rnacentral:sRNA from 1 species